rnacentral:rRNA from 1 species
CCUACGGGAGGCAGCAGUGAGGAAUAUUGGUCAAUGGACGAGAGUCUGAACCAGCCAAGUAGCGUGAAGGAUGACUGCCCUAUGGGUUGUAAACUUCUUUUAUAUGGGAAUAAAAUGUUCCACGUGUGGGAUUUUGUAUGUACCAUAUGAAUAAGGAUCGGCUAACUCCGUGACAGCAGCCGCGGUAAUACGGAGGAUGCGAGCGUGAUCCGGAUUUAUUGGGUGUAAAGGGAGCGUAGGUGGAGUGUUAAGUCAGUUGUGAAAGUUUGCGGCUCAACCGUAGGAGUGCAGUUGAAACUGGCAGACUUGAGUGCAGAAGAGGUGAGCGGAAUUCGAGGUGUAGCGGUGAAAUGCGUAGAUAUAUGGAAGAACACCAGUGGCGAAAGCGGCUCACUGGUCUGCAACUGACGCUGAGGCUCGAAAGUGUGGGUAGCAAACAGGAUUAGAUACCCGAGUAGUC